rnacentral:rRNA from 1 species
GUCCGCGCGGUAAACGAUGGAUGCCCGCUGUGCGCCAUUUUGGUGUGCGGUCAAGCGAAAGCGUUAAGCAUCCCACCUGGGGAGUACGCCGGCAACGGUGAAACUCAAAGGAAUUGACGGGGGCCCGCACAAGCGGAGGAACAUGUGGUUUAAUUCGAUGAUACGCGAGGAACCUUACCCGGGCUUGAACUGCCGGUGAACGAUACAGAGAUGUUGAGGCCCUUCGGGGCGCCGGUGGAGGUGCUGCAUGGUUGUCGU